GACGAACGCUGGCGGCGUGCUUAACACAUGCAAGUCGAACGGAAAGGCCCCUUUGGGGGUACUCGAGUGGCGAACGGGUGAGUAACACGUGAGUAACCUGCCCUUGACUUCGGGAUAACUUCAGGAAACUGGGGCUAAUACCGGAUAGGAAUCCUUGCUGCAUGGUGGGGGUUGGAAAGCUUCGGCGGUUUUGGAUGGACUCGCGGCUUAUCAGCUUGUUGGUGGGGUAGUGGCUUACCAAGGCUUUGACGGGUAGCCGGCCUGAGAGGGCGACCGGCCACAUUGGGACUGAGAUACGGCCCAGACUCCUACGGGAGGCAGCAGUGGGGAAUAUUGCACAAUGGGCGGAAGCCUGAUGCAGCAACGCCGCGUGCAGGAUGACGGCCUUCGGGUUGUAAACCGCUUUCAGCAGGGGCGAAGCUUGUGGUGACGGUACCUGCAGAAGAAGCACCGGCUAACUACGUG
rnacentral:rRNA from 1 species